AAUCAACGCUGGCGGCGUGCCUAACACAUGCAAGUCGCACGAGAAAGCGGACUUCGGUCUGCAAGUACAGUGGCGCACGGGUGAGUAACACGUGAAUUAUCUACCUUCGAGUGGGGAAUAACCUCGGGAAACCGAGGCUAAUACCGCAUAACACUUACGAGUCAAAGCAGCAAUGCGCUUGAAGAGGAGUUCGCGGCAGAUUAGUUAGUUGGCGGGGUAAUGGCCCACCAAGACGAUGAUCUGUAUCCGGCCUGAGAGGGCGCACGGACACACUGGAACUGAAACACGGUCCAGACUCCUACGGGAGGCAGCAGUGGGGAAUUUUGCGCAAUGGGGGAAACCCUGACGCAGCAACGCCGCGUGGAGGAUGAAAUCCCUUGGGAUGUAAACUCCUUUCGAUCGGGACGAUUAUGACGGUACCGGAAGAAGAAGCCCCGGCUAACUUCGUGCCAGCAGCCGCAGUAA
rnacentral:rRNA from 1 species